GAUGAACGCUGGCGGCGUGCCUAAUACAUGCAAGUCGAGCGAACAGACGAUGAGCUUGCUCCUCUGACGUUAGCGGCGGACGGGUGAGUAACACGUGGAUAACCUACCUAUAAGACUGGGAUAACUUCGGGAAACCGGAGCUAAUACCGGAUAAUAUAUUGAACCGCAUGGUUCAAUAGUGAAAGACGGUUUUGCUGUCACUUAUAGAUGGAUCCGCGCCGCAUUAGCUAGUUGGUAAGGUAACGGCUUACCAAGGCAACGAUGCGUAGCCGACCUGAGAGGGUGAUCAGCCACACUGGAACUGAGACACGGUCCAGACUCCUACGGGAGGCAGCAGUGGGGAAUAUUGGACAAUGGGCGCAAGCCUGAACCAGCCAUACCGCGUGGGUGAAGAAGGCCUUCGGGUUGUAAAGCCCUUUUUUUGGGGAAGAAAAGCAGCAGGUUAAUACCCCGCUGUUCUGACGGUACCCAAAGAAUAAGCACCGGCUAACUUCGUG
rnacentral:rRNA from 1 species